rnacentral:rRNA from 1 species
GGGGAAUAUUGCACAAUGGGGGAAACCCUGAUGCAGCGACGCCGCGUGAAGGAAGAAGGUCUUCGGAUCGUAAACUUCUAUCAGCAGGGAAGAAGAUAGUGACUGUACCUGACUAAGAAGCCCCGGCUAACUACGUGCCAGCAGCCGCGGUAAUACGUAGGGGGCAAGCGUUAUCCGGAAUCACUGGGUGUAAAGGGUGCGUAGGCGGUAGGGCAAGUCAGAUGUGAAAGCCCGGGGCUCAACUCCGGGAUUGCAUUUGAAACUGUCUUACUAGAGUGCAGGAGAGGAAAGCGGAAUUCCUAGUGUAGCGGUGAAAUGCGUAGAUAUUAGGAAGAACACCAGUGGCGAAGGCGGCUUUCUGGACUGUAACUGACGCUGAGGCACGAAAGCGUGGGGAGCGAAC